ACGCUCGACACCUACGUGAGGCAGCAGUGAGGAAUAUUGGUCAAUGGGCGCAGGCCUGAACCAGCCAAGUAGCGUGAAGGAUGACUGCCCUAUGGGUUGUAAACUUCUUUUAUAUGGGAAUAAAGUUUUCCACGUGUGGAAUUUUGUAUGUACCAUAUGAAUAAGGAUCGGCUAACUCCGUACCAGCAGCCGCGGUAAUCUGAGCGGGCUGGCAAGGC
rnacentral:rRNA from 1 species